rnacentral:rRNA from 1 species
AACGAACGCUGGCGGCGUGCCUAACACAUGCAAGUCGUGCGAGAAAGUUCCUUCGGGAGCGAGUAAAGCGGCGCACGGGUGAGUAACACGUAGGUAACCUGCCCCCCAGUCUGGAACAACUAGAGGAAACUCUAGCUAAUGCCGGAUGAGACCACGAUCCCUUCGGGGGUUGCGGCCAAAGAUGGCCUCUACUUGUAAGCUAUCGCUGAGGGAUGGGCCUGCGGGCCAUUAGCUUGUUGGUGAGGUAACGGCUCACCAAGGCUGUGAUGGCUAGCUGGUCUGAGAGGAUGACCAGCCACACUGGGACUGAGACACGGCCCAGACUCCUACGGGAGGCAGCAGUGGGGAAUAUUGCGCAAUGGGCGAAAGCCUGACGCAGCGACGCCGCGUGGGGUGAUGAAGGCCUUC